rnacentral:rRNA from 1 species
AGAGUUUGAUCAUGGCUCAGAACGAACGCUGGCGGCGUGCCUAACACAUGCAAGUCGAGCGCGAAUGGAGCAAUCCUAGUAGAGCGGCGCACGGGUGCGUAACACGUGGGUAAUCUGCCUAGAUGACUGGGAUAACCUGCCGAAAGGCAAGCUAAUACCAGAUAAGCCUACGGGUUCCUCGGAACCUGAAGGAAAAGGUGGCCUCUGUAUACAAGCUAUCACAUCUAGAUGAGCCCGCGGCCCAUCAGCUAGUUGGCGGGGUAAUGGCCCACCAAGGCAACGACGGGUAGCUGGUCUGAGAGGACGAUCAGCCACACUGGAACUGAGACACGGUCCAGACUCCUACGGGAGGCAGCAGUGGGGAAUAUUGCGCAAUGGGCGAAAGCCUGACGCAGCGACGCCGCGUGUGGGAUGACGGCCUUCGGGUUGUAAACCACUGUCGGGAGGGACGAAUGCCCCGCAAGGGGAGUGACGGUACCUCCAAAGGAAGCACCGGCUAACUCCGUGCCAGCAGCCGCGGUAAUAC